rnacentral:rRNA from 1 species
UCAGGAUGAACGCUAGCUACAGGCUUAACACAUGCAAGUCGAGGGGCAGCGAGAGUGUAGCAAUACACUUGUCGGCGACCGGCGCACGGGUGAGUAACGCGUAUCCAACCUGGCCCUUAGUAGGGGAGUAGCCCGGCGAAAGUCGGAUUAAUACCCUAUGUUCUCCUUUGAGAGCAUUUGAUGAGGAGCAAAGAUUUAUCGCUAGGGGAUGGGGAUGCGUCCGAUUAGGCAGCAGGCGGGGUGACGGCCCACCUGGCCGACGAUCGGUAGGGGUUCUGAGAGGAAGGUCCCCCACACUGGUACUGAGACACGGACCAGACUCCUACGGGAGGCAGCAGUGAGGAAUAUUGGUCAAUGGGCGCGAGCCUGAACCAAGCCAAGUAGCGUGAGGGACGACGGCCCUACGGGUUGUAAACCUCUUUUGCCGGGGAAUAAAGUGCGCCACGCGUGGCGUUUUGUAUGUACCCGGAGAAUAAGGACCGGCUAAUUCCGUGCCAGCCGCUGC